rnacentral:lncRNA from 1 species
CAAAUCAGAGUUAUUGCUUUUUUGUUUUUGUUUUCCAGAGAGCUGAUUGUUAUCCAUUUAUCAGAACACCAUUGGGUAGAAGUUCUUUGAGAACAGACCUAACUUCCCAUGCAAUUUUAGGCUGCUGAGCUGAAGAAGAAUUUGAGCUGGGAUGGCAUUCAGCCCUUUAAGACUGGUGCGUUUGUAAUUGCUUCUUAAAUAUCAACAAUUCAUAUGUGACAAUAUUACAAAUAUGGCCCAAGUGGAAUCAUUUCAGCUCCUCUCAUAGGCCAGUAGCUGAGACGCCUCAAACAGCUCCGAGC